AGAGUUUGAUCAUGGCUCAGGACGAACGCUGGCGGCGUGCCUAAUACAUGCAAGUCGAGCGGACAGAUGGGAGCUUGCUCCCUGAUGUUAGCGGCGGACGGGUGAGUAACACGUGGGUAACCUGCCUGUAAGACUGGGAUAACUCCGGGAAACCGGGGCUAAUACCGGAUGCUUGUUUGAACCGCAUGGUUCAAACAUAAAAAGGUGGCUUCGGCUACCACUUACAGAUGGACCCGCGGCGCAUUAGCUAGUUGGUGAGGUAACGGCUCACCAAGGCAACGAUGCGUAGCCGACCUGAGAGGGUGAUCGGCCACACUGGGACUGAGACACGGCCCAGACUCCUACGGGAGGCAGCAGUAGGGAAUCUUCCGCAAUGGACGAAAGUCUGACGGAGCAACGCCGCGUGAGUGAUGAAGGUUUUCGGAUCGUAAAGCUCUGUUGUUAGGGAAGAACAAGUACCGUUCGAAUAGGGCGGUACCUUGACGGUACCUAACCAGAAAGCCACGGCUAACUACGUGCCAGCAGCCGCGGUAAUACGUAGGUGGCAAGCGUUGUCCGGAAUUAUUGGGCGUAAAGGGCUCGCAGGCGGUUUCUUAAGUCUGAUGUGAAAGCCCCCGGCUCAACCGGGGAGGGUCAUUGGAAACUGGGGAACUUGAGUGCAGAAGAGGAGAGUGGAAUUCCACGUGUAGCGGUGAAAUGCGUAGAGAUGUGGAGGAACACCAGUGGCGAAGGCGACUCUCUGGUCUGUAACUGACGCUGAGGAGCGAAAGCGUGGGGAGCGAACAGGAUUAGAUACCCUAGUAGUCC
rnacentral:rRNA from 1 species